CCAAACACGCACGAGAGACAGACGAGAACGCGCUGCCGCAAACGUUACGGGAGUUGGGCGGCGGUUGGGGAAGGAGGGGGAGUCAACGUCACAGUCCUUCUUCCGCAGUGGAUUCCCCCGGUGCCUCACAUCUCUCGUGCACAGGCGCGCAGCGCGCGCACACACACGGAAAGAAAGUAACGGGCCCCGGCAGGACCGGGGGGGCGGGGCAUGCAGGCGCGGAGCAGAGCGCAGGCGCCGGGGCGGCUGCUCUUGGUCUUGGCUCCUGCGACUGGAACAUUCUGGAAAUGGCGGCUGCCGUGUCCCGGAGAGUGAGAUGGGAGGGGGUUGGGUGGGGAGAAAGACUAGAGCGUCUACUUCCCCUUGUGACAGGAACCGUGUAGGUGCCACCACCGCUUCAUCCCGACUCGCAGGCCCAGGGCCCCUUCCUUGGGCUACUCCGGGUUUUCCGGCAGCGAUGGCGCAGUGAGUUUUAACUACCCGCAGAGUGCGCAUGCGCGGCUGGCUCCGAGCCUGAUCCAAAGCCUACUGAAGUCAGGACUGUCUUUCGAUUGACAUCUGGGCUUUGGAUCACGUCCUUGAAGUGUACCUUGGAAGAUUAAGAUCUGAGUUUGCGGUCUGUUGAAAUCCCACCCAUAACAGCUAGCAAGUUUAGAAGUGAGGGCAUCUGGACACCAGUAUGCAGGAAACAGGAACUGGCAGCAUGCAUGUAGUGGCAUAUAAGAAGGCGCAGAAUUCUGGAGAGUAAGAGCAGGCUCAUCGCUGAAGCAUCAGUGCCUGGAGGCAAUAAUGCCUGAGUGCUAGAGGGAGCAUAUUAGGAAGUGCCUCUUGCUACACUUCUUGAACAAGCGCAGAGUUUCCUGAGUAUUGCUAUGCAGGUGUGUGGGCGGGGAAGCAUCAUGCUUUACCCAGACACAUCCUUUCUGUUUGUGUAAUCAGUUCCAUUCUUUCCUCUGUAUACCCAGUGUGACAUUCUGUACCUCAAAAUAGCACCCUGGAACUCCCAUAUUCAUCACUGUGAUAUGAUUAUGAUAUGUUUUGUACAAUGCAUGCCUUGUGAGGUAUCAUUUAAAAAGUCUUGAUCUGCUGAAAAUUACUAUCUUGUUGAAUUGUAUGUGAAGUUAUGAAGUACUGCUAUGUGUGUUACUAAAAUAUGUGGUAAGUGGGAAAUGCCCACAACAAGCCUUUCAGUGGCAACAAAGGAGCAACUAACACUGACAAGACAGAUUUACAUCAGGAUCAGCUAGACAUGUGUUGAUGACCCAUCAUGAAGAAUCCACUCUCCCAGAGAUUCCUCAGAGAGUGCACAUACACAAUGGGGGCUACCUAACCCCCAUGUCACAGCAAGGAUCUUUCUAGAACCUGGGAGAAAGUAUAAAUGGAAGUGGAUGACAUCAUCAUUUGGCCUCUCUCCUUCCCCAUCUCAACUCCUGGAAGAUCAUUUGGAAGACAAAGACUUUGAUCUAGAGAUUGGUCCAAGGCUGAGAAGGGAAUUCAAUCUAUGUAAUAAGAACUAUAAACUGCCUGGAACAUCCAGUGCAGCAAGAAAAGCUGUUUGAUUCAAAUCUUGCUUAGUCUGCAAUAGUGUAGAAUUUAGACAGUGAUUCUAUUUUUAUUUCUUAUGUAACCAACUUUAAUUUCCGUGCCUAAUGUUAAUUUAUAACCUAGCUUUCUGCAGUUUUAUACUUACCAGCAAGUUUGUCAAAGGUGCUUGGGCAAUCUGCUUAGAUUACAAAGGCUGGUAUAUGUCCACUUUCCUUUGACAAAGUGGCAAAAUUAAUUUAUGAGCUUUUACUGUUCAAGAGAUGGCCUUGAGCAGUGUAAGAUGGUACAUCACUGGGGUGCAAGGCUGAAGCUGGGUAAAAGUGGCUGCAGCCUCUCUGCGUAUAAUUCAUGAGUGGCGUAUAGAGCAUUUAUGCAACUCAAUUGGGUGUGCCCCUCCACAUGUUGAUGGCUGAGUGACCACAGCACCUGUAGGGUUUGCUAUAUGUCACUAGCACAGCAUUGUGAGAGACAGCCCAGGCUGACGAAUUUAAGGGGACUCAGCAGUCUCAUGUCACACCCAGUUUCUCAUUUGUGUAGGUCUUUAAAAAGUGUUUCUCUCCCUUGACACUGUGAAAGAUGGAAAACCUGACUGUAAAAUAAAAAUUUGCAACAGGAUUACUCUUCUUAGAGAGUAUAGAACCCUAGACUGCUUUUAGCCAGUUUUUUAAAAAUGGAGUAUAUUUUAAGUUGGUUAUAUCCCUUUUUAUUUCUCAAAACGGUUCUGCAAGCCAAGGAAUGCAAAUAAGCACUUUCCUUCGUCACAUACACACUGCAUGUGUAUAUUGCCCACUGACAUGCCAGCCUGGUGAGGAGGGCUUUAGACUAGGUUCAAAGGAGGCAGGUAACAAAAGCCCAGAGGUAGGUAUAAAAAAGGUGAUCUCAACACAGAGCUAGAUAUUAAGAGAGGGGAAUAGAAAAUUACAAUAGGCACUUAGGAGCAACAAGAUACAAAAUGGUGGGGGAAUCUGCUCUACAUUUCAGACAUCUAUGCACAAAUGCGUGGAGUCUGACGAAUAAACAGGAAGAACUGGAUGUAUUAGUCCAUAAACUAGAUUAUGACUUAACUGCCAUCACAGAGACCAAAUGGGAUAAAUCUCAUGAUUGGAAUAUUGAUAUAAAAAGGGUACAGCUUGUUCCGGAAGGACUGGCAGGGGAAAAAACAGAGAAGGCAUUACAUUAUACAUCAAGAAUAUGUACACUUGUUCUAGAGACCAGAAGGAAAUGAGAGGCAGACUAAUUGAGUGUGCCUGGACGAAAAUUAAAAUGGGGGUGAAAACAGACCCUACCACGACAUUGUCCCUACUACACACCGCCGAACCAGGAGGAGGUAGACAAGGCAUUUCUAGAAUAAACGAACAUCCAAAACACAAAACCUGGUAGUAAUGGGGGACUUUUAACUACCCGAACAUCUAUUGGAAAAGUAACAUGGAAAAACACAAAAUGUCCAAUAAGUCCUGGACUAUAUUAGGGACAACUUUUUAUUUCAGAAGGAGGAAGUAAUCAAGGGGACUGCCAUUUUAGACUUGAUUCUGACUACCACGGAGGAACAGGUUGUGAAUCUGAAGGCUGAAAGCCAGUUGAUUGAAAGUGAUCAUGAAAUUAUAGAUUUCACAAUUCUAAGGAAAGAAAGGACUGAGAGCAGCAAAAUAAGGACAAUGGACUUUUUUAAGAAGCAGCUUUUAAACAAGCUCAGAGAACUGCGAGGUAACGUAAAAAGUAGUUCAGGAGAGCUGGCAAUUUCUCGAAGAGACAAUAUUAGAAGUGCAACAGCAAACAGAACCAUGGCCCUUUGAACAAUGAGUCCACACUAUCUUCUACAAGCUAUCUGCCUGCAACCCACAGCAAGUCAUCAAACUUCUCCUAUAUCCCAAGCUCUGAAGCUCAGACAGUUGGAUCUGUGCAAGAGGCUAACAGGCAACCAGAACACCCUACAGAUCCAAACAUUACUCCCCUUCCUGUUCAGUCCAAACAACAAACAGAUAUCUAACAGUAACUCAAAUCCAGUAGUAGCUAUACCAACCUCACCCCUAACACCUACUAUGCCACCUGCCAUUUCCCCUGCAGUACAAGCACCACAUGUAGCUCCCUCAAAUUCAGCAGCAGCCAUUACACAAGAAAAGUCUCUCUCUCACAAGGGAACAAGUGUAUGCAGCACAGGAAAUGUUGAAGACUGCAAAGUUACCAGGCCAGAAAAGGCACUUAUACUUGGGUUCCUGGCAUGAUCCAGAGAGAAUCCUUGCUAAGAGCAAGGCAACAUCAUUCAGAUUAAAUUAGUAAGCAUACAGAAGUUUCACCAAAAGUCAAUGGCACUGGAAGCAUCACCCUGUUAUUGGAUACAGUCUUUGAAAUGAACUGUAUUACUGGCCAGUGGACCCCGCUCAAGAAGUACAAAACUAUACCUAAUGUUUCCUAAAAGAUUCAGUAACAAACUGUGGACCAAAUCAAGCACAGAAUCAGGCAGCACAUCUAGUGUGUCAACUGUUCAAAAUGGCACUCAUAUCAGUUUCUUCACUUUCCAGAACACAAAUUGUGGCUAUCCAAACUAACUGGGUUAUAUGAUUGCAACAGGAAGAUGUUGCCGAACUGACAGAGAUUUUUUUUUUUAUAUAUAAAGGAAAGUAAAAGGGUUAACAUUGUUCUGUGAGUCAAUAUGCCAGAAAUAAAAUUACAACUCAAAGUUUGCUUCCCAGGUUUGGAGCAGUUCAAUGCCAAGCAUUGGGGAAAAGGACAAUUGUGGAAUCACAGUUUACUAUUAAACAAAGGCAUAGAUUUUAUUGCAAAAAUAUUUACAUUUAGUAUAUGAGUUUAGUUUAAAUAUGGACACUUGCGCACUACAAUAUUUGCAGUUAUUCCUGUAAUUUGAUUGCAGUAAAUUAAACUACUGCAGGUGGUAGAUGUUCAGCAUCUAAUAGCACCCACC